UAGUCAUAUGCUUGUCUCAAAGAUUAAGCCAUGCAUGUCUAAGUAUAAGCAAUCUAUACUGUGAAACUGCGAAUGGCUCAUUAAAUCAGUUAUCGUUUAUUUGAUAGUACCUUACUACUUGGAUAACCGUGGUAACUCUAGAGCUAAUACAUGCUAAAAACCCCGACUUCGGAAGGGGUGUAUUUAUUAGAUAAAAAACCAAUGCUCUUCGGGGCUCCUUGGUGAUUCAUAAUAACUUAACGAAUCGCAUGGCCUUGUGCCGGCGAUGGUUCAUUCAAAUUUCUGCCCUAUCAACUUUCGAUGGUAGGAUAGUGGCCUACCAUGGUUUCAACGGGUAACGGGGAAUUAGGGUUCUAUUCCGGAGAGGGAGCCUGAGAAACGGCUACCACAUCCAAGGAAGGCAGCAGGCGCGCAAAUUACCCAAUCCCGACACGGGGAGGUAGUGACAAUAAAUACUGAUACAGGGCUCUUUUGAGUCUUGUAAUUGGAAUGAGUACAAUUUAAAUCCCUUAACGAGGAACAAUU
rnacentral:rRNA from 1 species